rnacentral:rRNA from 1 species
CCAAUAGCGUAUAUUAAAGUUGCUGCGGUUAAAAAGCUCGUAGUUGAAUUUCGGAAUUGAUGCAUCGGUCGUGCCUUAAGGGGCAUGAACUGGUGUAGCCAAUUUCUCACCUUCUGGUGAAUUGUUGAUGUUCUUAAUGGGUGUCUCAAUGAACUAGAAUUUUUUACUUUGAAAAAAUUAGAGUGUUUAAAGCAGGCAUUAAUUUGCUUGAAUACAUUAGCAUGGAAUAAUGAAAUAGGACAGUGGUUCCGUUUUGUUGGUUUCUAGGAUCACGUAAUGAU